UACGUAGGGUGCGAGCGUUGUCCGGAAUUACUGGGCGUAAAGAGCUCGUAGGCGGUGUGUCGCGUCGGCCGUGAAAACCUGGGGCUCAACUCUGGGCGUGCGGUCGAUACGGGCAUCACUUGAGUUCGGCAGGGGAGACUGGAAUUCCUGGUGUAGCGGUGAAAUGCGCAGAUAUCAGGAGGAACACCGGUGGCGAAGGCGGGUCUCUGGGCCGAAAUUGACGCUGAGGAGCGAAAGCGUGGGGAGCAAACAGG
rnacentral:rRNA from 1 species